AACGUAGGACGCAAGCGUUAUCCGGAGUUACUGGGCGUAAAGCGCGGGCAGGCGGCUCGAAACGUCUGAUGUGAAAUCUCCUCGCUCAACGGGGAGAGGCCAUUGGAAACGGUCGGGCUGGAGGGCAGUAGAGGCAGGCGGAAUUCCGGGUGGAGUGGUGAAAUGCGUAGAGAUCCGGAGGAACACCGGAGGCGAAGGCGGCCUGCUGGGCUGCACCUGACGCUGAACCGCGAAAGCCAGGGGAGCGAACGGG
rnacentral:rRNA from 1 species